rnacentral:sRNA from 1 species
AUUUCCCUCCGGUUGGCAGCGAAGGAGCCCAAGUGGCCUGGAGCCGGGACAUUGCCCUCUCUCUGCCUGGAGAUUUCCCUCCACUCUUCGUUCCCCAUCUAUUUCCUCCCUCCGACUGAAAAAUAGCAUUCCUCCUGGCUCCCUAAUUUGUUCCAAGCACAUAUUGUCGGACUUGAGGCUAUUAAUUACCGACUGAAAAACAAAGUUUAUUAAAAAAUACUCCACUUCUCCCUCUUUCUGGCGGUGGACAUUAAACAGCAUCCCUAGACUUUCCCGCUCUGCUCGCCCUUCUGUGAUGCUAACGGGGAGGUAGGGCCCCGAGUUACCGUCUCUCUGGAUUGUUGUUGAUGCUGACUACCUGAUGUGUCGCUCCACGUCUUCGGUGUGAAUUGUAAUUUCUUCCUUGGUGUCUUGCAUCCUUGAUGUUACUGGCUUUUGAGUCCUCCAGAAUACGCAUCAUAUAGCCCCUGAGGUAGCAUGGUGAUGUCUCCAUGAGGGAACCCCCUCCCACUCAUCCUGUCACGUAUAUCAUAGUG